AUUAAAUUGUGUAUUAGGUAUCAAAGAUACGAAAAACAGAAGACAAAGUUGAAGAGAAGACCGGAGUCAUGAUUUCUGACAUCAUUUCCACAUUGUCAUCAGAAAUGCUUUCCAAACAAUUCGAAGUUUCUAUCAAUGCCUAUGAUUGGUCAUUCCAUUAUGGCGUCCUCUCAUUUCGACCAAUCAGAUUCAUCGUUGUAGGGUUAGGAGCGUGAAGUGUGGUGCAGUGCAUCAGUCCUCUCCGAAACUUCGUUCGUCUUUCACGUGUUUGCAACAGGUAUCGGCCGAUAGCGGAAUAUACCGAAGAAUGCCGAAGCGGUGCCGAUCAGUCUUCGUCGGGAAGGAAGGUCUCGCCAUUUCUCUCGCGAACGUCGAAGUGACCAGACGUAUUGAGAGCAUCUCUCCUCAUAAGUAGGUAUUUGAUGGAUAUUGAAGAGACACCUGAUAUAGGUUUGAAAUAGAAUUUCGUAAGAAUUUAUUGUUUUAAUUUAUUGUAAUGAAUUGUUAACAUUUAUUAUUACUUAUUUUUAUUAAGUCGUUAAUUGUUACCAUUUUUGAUAAUUAAUUAUUGGUACCAAGGUCAAGGAAGGAAAGAUUAGAGGAAUGUUUUUUUUCUUUGAUCAAUUCAUAGAAAAAGGAUAAUUAAUUUUUCAUUUGAUUGAAUAAUUUUAACUAGUAA